rnacentral:rRNA from 1 species
UACGAAGGGAGCUAGCGUUGUUCGGAAUCACUGGGCGUAAAGCGCACGUAGGCGGAUGUGUCAGUCAGGGGUGAAAUCCCGGAGCUCAACUUCGGAACUGCCUUUGAUACAGCACGUCUUGAGUCCGAUAGAGGUGGGUGGAAUUCCUAGUGUAGAGGUGAAAUUCGUAGAUAUUAGGAAGAACACCAGUGGCGAAGGCGGCUCACUGGCCCGGUACUGACGCUGAGGUGCGAAAGCGUGGGGAGCAAACAGG